AGGAACAAGAAAACCGAGAGAGAAUUUACCAUAACGCACUCAAAGUUUUUAUGUUUGAUUUUCAGUUCAAUGGACAACAGUUAUGGUAUGUAACCGAAAUGUGUGUUUAAACACAGAGAUGCAAACUCUGCUACCUCAUUAUCAGUUGAAGUAGUUAAAAAAAAAAAAAAAACGUAUUGAAAUUUUUGUUUGAUGAAUAUUUUUAAUUGUUGGAGGGAUGUACUUCCGACAUGCUAACAUUCAAUAUGCUCAAUCCGUUCCCUUACAGUACAAUGUAUCAUUGUUAUUGUAUACUUGAUAUUUUAGUGUGGAUGCUGCCAGAGAGGAUGGAUCACUAGGGAGACUGGUAAAUGACGACGAAGUGAACCCAAACAGCAAAAUUAAAGUUACAAGAGUGGAUGGAAGACCCCAUCUGUGUUUAUUCGCAAUCAAAGAUAUUGGUUCAGGGGAAGAAAUCACUUAUAACUAUGGUAAUUCGGAUUGGCCAUGGAGAAGCAAGGUAGUUAUAUAAAGUUUAUAUAAAGUUAUCUUAAGUAGAAAUAGUAGUAUAGAGUGGUUAAAGGGGUCAUAUAAUGGUAUGUUUUUUCCAGUCAGAUUUGAGCCGUUCGACCUAGUGACAUCACUUUAUCGGACGCCACUCUCACGAUUGAUAAUUGACAAGAUGAGACUUAUUUAGACUUGACUAUUUCAACUUGUUCAGUCCUAUUCAAAAUGUUAGAAACUGACAAGUAAACAGAUUUCUGUUGACCUUAUUUAUCAAUAUAAACUAAUAUGAGGUAUAUCUUGAAGUGUCUAAACUCAUAGGUCCUGUGUAAUCCUCACCAUGUAAGGUUCAGACAUUAGCAGGUCUGUUAGUUUUGUGCAUUAGAUAUGAACUCAUGAGAAUGAUAUUAAGUAGUAGUAUUGAGACGCACGGUCCUGUGUAACCAUUAAGGUACAAACUCUCGAUGACUUUUCGUCUCUUGAUUAGUUUAGACUUCCAAAGAGAUGCCAUGUCAGGCUGCUGAUGUGGACAAAUGCAGUUCCUUUGCAGUCAUUCCAAAGACUUCCAAAGAGAUGCCAUGUCAGGCUGCUGAUGUGGACAAAUGCAGUUCCUUUGCAGUCAUUCCAAAGACUUCCAAAGAGAUGCCAUGUCAGGCUGCUGAUGUGGACAAAUGCAGUUCCUUUGCAGUCAUUCCAAAGACUUCCAAAGAGAUGCCAUGUCAGGCUGCUGAUGUGGACAAAUGCAGUUCCUUUGCAGUCAUUCCAAAGACUUCCAAAGAGAUGCCAUGUCAGGCUGCUGAUGUGGACAAAUGCAGUUCCUUUGCAGUCAUUCCAAAGACUUCCAAAGAGAAGCCAUGUCAGGCUGCUGAUGUGGACAAAUGCAGUUCCUUUGCAGUCAUUCCAAAGGUAAUUUUUGAACUUCAAUGACUUUACUGUAGAUAUGAACUCAUGAGAAUGAUAUUAAGUAGUAGUAUUGAGACGCACAGGUCUUGUGUAGUCCUCAAAUUUACAAGUCAAAGAGGACUUGAGUAAAUUCAGUUGAGUCUUCUGAAGGUUUUUUCUUUUUUUUUUUUUUUUUUGCUUGAUCUAUCACAAUAUUUCUUCUAUCAUUUUUUUGAAAUGUGAUUGUUGUGACCCCCUAAAAAAUUGCCCCACACAGUUGUGGUGUGAAAUCUUUUCCUAUCUGUAUAACAAUAUUCUUGAUGGACUGGCACCAAAUGUUCCUGGUUCUAUACAAUGCCGUUCUAUAAGUCCCCAGUGAGUGUACCUUUGUUUUGUUUUGUAACAUUUAUCAUACUGUGUACUGUUGAAAGGUGACAGAGAAUGAAAAAAACGUUUUUGCCUUGUCUUAGUUGAAUAACAGUAGUCUACCCGCAUACACGAACAUACAAAAAGUGCUAGACAUUCUGAACAUCUCCGUUUCAUAGAAAUUCAUCCUUUAGAAAACGGCCCAAUCUAAACAACGGGUACAUAUUAUGUAACGUGUCUCACUGCCCCUCCGCUUCAAAAUAAUUUUCAUACAUCUACG
ensembl:lncRNA